CGGAUAGUUCUCGGAGUUAAUCGCGAUAGGGCGCUGGACAAAACUAACGUGGGCGAAGACAAAAAAAGAAAGCGAGCGAAAAAAUAACUUAUAUUUUUUACUGUUAUUUUUUCGCUCGCUUUCUUUUUCGUCUUCACCCGCGUUAGUUUUGUCCAGCGCCCUAUCGCGAUUAACUCCGAGAACUAUCCGA